rnacentral:sRNA from 1 species
GUUUCUUAUCUCUAUAGU